rnacentral:rRNA from 1 species
GACAGAGGGUGCAAGCGUUAAUCGGAGUGAUUGGGCGUAAAGGGCGCGUAGGCGGUGGAGAAAGUUAGUUGUGAAAUACCAAAGCUUAACUAUGGAAUUGCAGCUAAGACUAAGACACUAGAGUGAAGCAGAGGGGAGUAGAAUUUCCAGUGUAGCGGUGAAAUGCGUAGAUAUUGGAAAGAAUAUCAGUGGCGAAAGCGGCUCUCUGGGCUUAAACUGACGCUGAGGCGCGAAAGCGUGGGGAG